ACUUACAUAAACAAAUAUAAUUUUAUCUUCAUUAUCGUAUACUCUAGUUUAGGGUUCUUGUCGGCCUUUACUUUUUCCAUUGUCUCUAACUUCAUCCAUGUCUUUGCUUCCUUGCCUUCUCCAUUUUCAUCUUCUUCAUAACUCAUUCGUAUGACAUCCGAAUCAGUGAGUAUCUCAAGCAACCUCUCUCAUUCUAUGAGGAGAAGGAUGCAAUGUUAUUGUAGGUUGGGCUUACCACUUAUCACUACGUGGAUAUCCCAAAAUCCAGGUUGUAGGUUCUAUGGAUGUGGAUUAUACAAGGAAGGAAAAGAUGUGCAAUUUUUGACUGGUUUAAUGAGAAGAUGACAAAAUGUUCAAAUUAAGUGAUUAAUUCACUUUUGAAGAAUGUUAAUGAUUUGAAGAAGAAUGAUGUUUUAGUGAAGAAGACAAAUGAUAAGUUGAAGAAGAAGAUUAAGAUUUUAUGUUUUUUUUAUUUUGUUGUGGGUGAUCUUUUUAUUGAUCACAAAAAUGUUGGUUGAUUAAUGUAAUGUAAGUCUGACAUUACUGGGGUGUUGUGAUAUAAUUUAGAGUAUAAUGUUAGUAUAAUGUUAAUGUGAUGUUAUCAUUUUUGGAAUGAAAGUGUUGGUUGG